GUUCCGGCCGGGCGCGGUGGCUCACGCCUGCAAUCCCAGCACUUUGGGAGGCCGAGGUGGGCGGAUCACAAGGUCAGGAGAUCGAGACCAUCCUAGCUAACACGGUGAAACCCCGUCUCUACUAAAAAUACAAAAAAUUAGCCAGGCAUGGUGGCGUGUGCCUGUAGUCCCAGCUGCUGGGGAGGCUGAGGCAGGAGAAUGGCGUGAACCCAGGAGGCGGAGCUU
rnacentral:lncRNA from 1 species